rnacentral:rRNA from 1 species
CGGGUGAGUAACACGUGAGUAACCUGCCCUUAACUCUGGGAUAAGCCUGGGAAACUGGGUCUAAUACCGGAUAUGACUCCUCAUCGCAUGGUGGGGGGUGGAAAGCUUUAUUGUGGUUUUGGAUGGACUCGCGGCCUAUCAGCUUGUUGGUGAGGUAAUGGCUCACCAAGGCGACGACGGGUAGCCGGCCUGAGAGGGUGACCGGCCACACUGGGACUGAGACACGGCCCAGACUCCUACGGGAGGCAGCAGUGGGGAAUAUUGCACAAUGGGCGCAAGCCUGAUGCAGCGACGCCGCGUGAGGGAUGACGGCCUUCGGGUUGUAAACCUCUUUCAGUAGGGAAGAAGCGAAAGUGACGGUACCUGCAGAAGAAGCGCCGGCUAACUACGUGCCAGCAGCCGCGGUAAUACGUAGGGCGCAAGCGUUAUCCGGAAUUAUUGGGCGUAAAGAGCUCGUAGGCGGUUUGUCGCGUCUGCCGUGAAAGUCCGGGGCUCAACUCCGGAUCUGCGGUGGGUACGGGCAGACUAGAGUGAUGUAGGGGAGACUGGAAUUCCUGGUGUAGCGGUGAAAUGCGCAGAUAUCAGGAGGAACACCGAUGGCGAAGGCAGGUCUCUGGGCAUUAACUGACGCUGAGGAGCGAAAGCAUGGGGAGCGAACAGGAUUAGAUACCCUGGUAGUCCAUGCCGUAAACGUUGGGCACUAGGUGUGGGGGACAUUCCACGUUUUCCGCGCCGUAGCUAACGCAUUAAGUGCCCCGCCUGGGGAGUACGGNCGCAAGGCUNAAACUCAAAGGAAUUGACGGGGGCCCGCACAAGCGGCGGAGCAUGCGGAUUAAUUCGAUGCAACGCGAAGAACCUUACCAAGGCUUGACAUG